GAUGAACGCUGGCGGCGUGCCUAAUACAUGCAAGUCGAGCGAACAGACGAGGAGCUUGCUCCUCUGACGUUAGCGGCGGACGGGUGAGUAACACGUGGAUAACCUACCUAUAAGACUGGGAUAACUUCGGGAAACCGGAGCUAAUACCGGAUAAUAUAUUGAACCGCAUGGUUCAAUAGUGAAAGACGGUUUUGCUGUCACUUAUAGAUGGAUCCGCGCCGCAUUAGCUAGUUGGUAAGGUAACGGCUUACCAAGGCAACGAUGCGUAGCCGACCUGAGAGGGGGACGGCCCAAACGGGAACUGAACACGGGCCCAACCCCCAACGGGGGGAAACAGGAGGGAACUUUGCCGAAUGGGGAAAAACCUUACGGGCCAACCCCGGGGGGGGAAUGAAGGUUUUCGGAUCGAAAAACCUUUUUAUUAAGGAAAAACAAAUUGGGAAGGAAAUGCUCACGAAUUGACGGUAACUAACCAGAAAGGCACGGCUAACUACGUG
rnacentral:rRNA from 1 species